AUGGCGCUGCCGAGCACGGAGAAGAAGACGGCGGCGGAGGUGGUCGCGGCGCUGGAGCUGCACCGCCACCCCCACGGCGGCUUCUACCUGGAGACCUUCCGCGACCCCUCCCUCACGCUCCCCAAGUCCGCGCUCCCGCCCCAAUAUAAGGUGGACCGUGCUGUGAGUAGUGCAAUCUAUUUCCUGCUGCCUGCUGGGGAGAUCGCUCGGCUGCACCGCAUCCCCUGCGCUGAGGCAUGGCACUACUACAUGGGGGAGCCCCUCACGGUAUUUGAGGUGCAUGAUGAUGGGCAAGUCAAGAUGACAGUAGUCGGUCCCGAUCUACGGAAAGGGCAGAGACCACAGUACACGGUCCCUCCGAAUGUGUGGUUUGGCGCCUUCCUGACCCACGACAUCGAGUUCUUCACUGACGACUGCAGUGUUUUUGUCAAGACACCUGGACGGGACCCUGACCUCCACUAUUCUUUCGUUGGAGUGACCUGUGCCCCAGCAUACCAAUUCGAGGACGAUGAAAUGGCCACACGCGACAGCAUGAAAGCUUUGGCUCCUAACACGGAAGCUUUCAUCAAUUACCUUGUUCCAGCUUAG
rnacentral:rRNA from 1 species